rnacentral:rRNA from 1 species
GACGAACCGUGCGAACGUUGUUCGGAAUCACUGGGCUUAAAGGGCGCGUAGGCGGGUGUGCAAGUCUGUGGUGAAAGCCUCCAGCUUAACUGGAGAAGUGCCAUGGAUACUGCACAUCUUGAGGAGGGUAGGGGCAUCUGGAACGGUCGGUGGAGCGGUGAAAUGCGUUGAUAUCGACCGGAACUCCGGUGGCGAAGGCGAGGUGCUGGACCCUUUCUGACGCUGACGGCGCGAAAGCCAGGGGAGCAA